rnacentral:misc_RNA from 1 species
GUUUACGACGCCGAGUUGGCCGUGUGUUCGUUCUUGUCGAAUUUCUGUGAUGUGUCAUUUGAGAUCGUGCAAAGUAAGCUAAAGGGAGCCUACAGUUUCUGCCCUUGAAGCAGCCAUGGGGGAGGCAACACAAGUCAGCUCGCUGCCGCUGCCGCCGAUGCAGUAUGUUAGCCUCUACACAGACGAAAACGUGCAGCGUGGACGAGCUCCGUCACCACCUAGGCCACUGCAUGAAGGCUACUCCAUGUUUGGUGCUCCAUUCCAUGGGGAUGAACCUGUCAUUCGCCCUUUGGAAAGCCAAGGUAUACGGAGACUAUACCCACAAAACUAUGAGCACAAGAAAGAGCUGAAGAAGCUCAACCACUCACUGCUUGUCAACUUCCUUGACAUGGUUGACAUCUUGAUACGGUGUCCUGAUACUUCCAAGCGGCUGGAGAAGAAAGAUGACAUGAGCUUACUUUUCAUCCACAUGCACCACCUGAUCAACGAGUACAGGCCCCAUCAAGCUAGGGAGACACUCCGAGUGAUGCUUGACAUGCAGAGGCGGCAGCGGCUAGACACAGCGCAUAGAUUCCACAAGCACUUGGACAAGUUGACUGGACUGGACCCAGGGGAGAUGAGCGGAAAAACAACAGCUCACUCGCUGCACUGUGGGCCGCACCGUUGCCGAUGCUGCCAGAGUGCCCCGGAACCCAGUCCACUCACACGCCCAUGCUGUAAUCCCGAUAAAGGGAUGUGCAUGCGACCUUAAUAUCAUGCGCCCACGUGCCGACUCUAGGCAUCCCCCUUGGCCCACUGGGUGUGUGCCACGCGGGAUGUGCCCGAAUACAGUACGCGAAAUCCUACAGAACACAGUGAGUGUUCUCCCUGAACCAGAGCCAACUACCACCUGGCAACAGCCAGUUCAGGCCACAGGUACAACUGGA